CCCAGUCAGAAAGAAUUCAGACCUACAAUUUUACACAGAAUAGAGUCACUGACCACAGGGUAGGAUAUGAAGUCCAAGAUAUUAAGGUUCCUGCACAGCAUCAGAUGUGUCUGACUUCUAAGGAAAAUGAGACCCCAGACACAUUGAUGGGUCAGUUCAGCAAAAACAAGAGCUGCAUUCCUGUCUGGAGAGGGUGGAGAGGAAGAGAGUCAGACACCUAUAGCACCGCGUCAUAGCCCAUGAAGCUUCUCCAGAGCAGGUGGAAGCAGGGAACGGAACCCAGGAGCCCUUCCAUCUGGAGCAGAUGACUUCAGAGACCCCAGGGCAGCUGGUCCGCAAGGCCAGGCAGUAGAGAAGGAGCCAGCAGGGGAGAGGUUCCUGCACAGCAUUAGAUGUGUCUGACUUCUAAGGAAAAUGAGACUCCAGACACAUUGAUGGGGCAUCAACAAGACUGUGGAUAGGAAAUGAGUGAGCUGCCAACUAUUGAGCUGCUGCGCCAGAGACCACAAGACUCCACUUCUGUCUCCAUCAUCGCAGAGCCCUGCCAUCUGGAGCAGACCUCUGAGGAGACCCCAGGAGCCCUUCCAUCUGGAGCAGAUGACUUCAGAGACCCCAGGGCAGCUGGUCCGCAAGGCCAGGCAGUAGAGAAGGAGCCAGCAGGGGAGAGGUGAGCCCCAGCCUUCCCAAAGUGCCUCCUCUGGGAUGUCUCCCUUUCUGAAGCAGGAUCAUGACACAGGACCA